GCUGGGGCUGAGUGAUUCCAAGGACUCCUGCCCGGGUAGGGGGCUUUAGGAUGAGCUCUAGGUACCCCCACCCCUUGACCCUCCAGACAAUCAGUGAGCACCUUCAUAGCCUCUUUUGUAGGCUUCUGAACAUGCCAGCUGCUCUGUCCCCAUGGAAACUCCUCGGCCUCCCCUGGUGCUGCACCUUCUUGGAUUCCCUCCUCCUCUGCCUGUGCCUUCUCCAUCUUUGGUGCAGUGUUUCCGGCACUCUGGUUAGGCCCUGUUUUCUAGCUGAGAUAAUUUCCCUGAUCUCCAGCCUAGCAUCCCCUUUGUGAGCUCUAGCCCUAAAUAACCCACUGCAUGCUGGGCCUCAGCCCCUGGGUCUCUCUCCCACACUGAACUCAUCCCAAAUCACACUCCCGAGCCUUCCCCUCAGCUCACUUCCCACAACCAGUUCUUUUCCAUGUCAGUGAAGGGCACCCCCUUUCACAAAGCUCCUCAUGCUCUAGACCUGGUGAGGGCCACAGCUGCCUUUUUGAACGUGUAGUUUUGCAGUCCUCCCC
rnacentral:lncRNA from 10 species